rnacentral:rRNA from 1 species
AAUGAACGUUGGCGGCGUGGAUUAGGCAUGCAAGUCGAGCGGUAGAGAACUGCUCACUUUGGGCUGUUUGGCUAAUGGCUAAUAGUUAACAGCUUCGAAGUGAGCAGUUCUUGAGAGCGGCGAAAGGGAGAGUAACGCGUAGUUACGUACCCCGGGGUCUGGAAUAGCCACGGGAAACUGUGGGUAAUGCCAGAUAACAUCUCCGGAUCAAAGGUGUGAUUCCGCCCUGGGAGCGGACUGCGUUGUACUAGCUAGUUGGUAGGGUAAUGGCCUACCAAGGCGACGAUGCAUAGCGGGUGUGAGAGCAUGACCCGUCUCACUGGGACUGAGACACUGCCCAGACACCUACGGGUGGCUGCAGUCGAGAAUCUUCGGCAAUGGACGCAAGUCUGACCGAGCGACGCCGCGUGUGGGAUGAAGGCCUUCGGGUUGUAAACCACUGUCGUAGAGGAGGAAAUUGGCCGGGGUUCUCCCCGGUCAUUGACCUAUUCUAGGAGGAAGGACGGGCUAAGUACGUGCCAGCAGCCGCAGUAACAC